GAUCAUGGCUCAGGAUAAACGCUGGCGGCGCACAUAAGACAUGCAAGUCGAACGGACUUAACCAUUAGUUUACUAUUGGAGCGGUUAGUGGCGGACUGGUGAGGUAACACGUAAGCAACCUGCCUAUCAGAGGGGAACAACAGUUAGAAAUGACUGCUAAUACCGCAUAUGCCUUAAUUACCACAUGGUAGUAGAGGGAAAGGAGCAAUCUGCUGAUAGAUGGGCUUGCGU
rnacentral:rRNA from 1 species